rnacentral:rRNA from 1 species
UACGUAGGUGGCAAGCGUUGUCCGGAUUUACUGGGCGUAAAGAGCGCGCAGGCGGCUGGUCAAGUCCGAUGUGAAAUCUCCCGGCUUAACUGGGAAACUGCAUCGGAAACUGAUCGGCUUGAAGGUGGGAGAGGGUAGUGGAAUUCCCGGUGUAGUGGUGAAAUGCGUAGAUAUCGGGAGGAACACCAGUGGCGAAGGCGACUACCUGGCCCAUUCUUGACGCUGAGGCGCGAAAGCUAGGGGAGCGAACGGGAUUAGA